GGCUCCGUGGCGCAAUGGUCGCGCGUUACUUUCCGGUUUCUAAACACCGCUGGUAAAGGUUCUGGGUUCGAGCCCCAGCGGGGUCG